rnacentral:lncRNA from 1 species
AAGAUGUUUCUCCUCUCUUACAGCGCGAGCACAAACACAGCACAAGAAAUCCAGUGAAUGUGCCAGGGUUGGAUGCAGCCAGGGAAGGCCAGAUUAGUGCACAACUGACGAAGGGAAGCCAUGCAUUUUGACAAGAGACUGGGAAGUUGUUAGGAAUAACAAGGAAGAUGUGUGAAGGAAGCAAAGACCAUACUAGUUGUUGAUGUCUUCUGCAGAGCUGUCGCUCCUGGAACCAGUGUGUAGGUUGCUGUCCCAGACAUAGCCAAGCUUCGUCUUUUGUCUGUUUUUCUUCCAUUCUUUCGUCCCUUCCUCUUGCCCUCUCAGAAGCAUCCUGAAGUGAGAUCCAGUGGACACGGAUGUAGAACAGGGGAAGAAAGCUCGCAAUGGCAAGGUGUUGAAGCAAGUGCUGUGUAGGCAGCAGAAGUCCUGAAAUGAUCAAGUAACU